GACGGAGGAUGCAAGCGUUAUCCGGAAUUAUUGGGCGUAAAGCGUCCGCAGGUGGCUGUUCAAGUCUGCUGUCAAAGCGCAGAGCUUAACUCUGUACAGGCGGUGGAAACUGAAGAGCUAGAGUACGGUAGGGGUAGAGGGAAUUCCCGGUGUAGCGGUGAAAUGCGUAGAUAUCGGGAAGAACACCAGUGGCGAAAGCGCUCUACUGGGCCAUAACUGACACUGAGGGACGAAAGCUAGGGGAGCGAAAGGG
rnacentral:rRNA from 1 species